AUAAAUUAUUGUGUAUCUUCGUCAUCCUCCUCCUCAAACGUCGAACAUGGCGGACACUGGUUUUACUCAAUUUUGUUUCUUUCCGUUCUGUAGCCUCGUGUUCAAAGACACGAUGGGAAAGGAGCCUUCUUUGGAUGAAGAACCAAUUAAAAGGUAAAAAUGUUUCUACUUUGUAUCCACUAGAGGCUCUAUCUAUCCCUUGUGAGGAAAUUGAACAGGCGGGUAGAUCUAAAGCCACAACUGCUUAAGGCAUUUCCACUUCACUGGGCUUAGUCGCCGGCCGCAACAAACUAGGCCUAAACCCUCCUUCUAGCAACUUCUCCACUUCCUCAAACUGAAGCCCUUUCGUCUCAGGCACAAACAGCCAGAU